rnacentral:lncRNA from 1 species
UGGAGUGAUUGAUUAAAACCCCAUUUGAUUUUGAUGAGCUCAAAGCAUUGGAGUAUAUCUUGUGAUUACUAAUGAAUUCAAUUGAGUGUUUCAGUGAAAAUUCUGUCCAAGUGUCUCUAGAUUUGGUUCAUAGUAUUGUGGAUAAGUUAAGAAGUCUGCUGAACCAAAGUCUGAGACUCGAGUCGACUCCCGAGUAUCACGAGUCGACUCCAAGCGUAUCAAGUUCACUGGCACGAGCUCGAGUCGACUCCAGACUAGUACGAGUCGACUCCGACUGAGAACAGAAAGAAGAACAGAAAGCCUCAUCUCAGAACCU